CUAGACAGAUGGCUUCUAAGACCCCACUUACAGGGGCUCUUACCCAUCCUGCUUAGCAUUCUGCUGGCAACCCCUGAGAGAAAGUGGCACGCUUGGUUGCCCCUUUUAUCGCUCAGCCCCCUGGCUGGCUGGGCAUCCUUCUGAAGAACAUACUGCCAGGGCCCAUGCUGAUGACAUCAUCUGAGCUGUCAGUCUAAUCAUGGGUAGCCCUUCAGGGUUCCCACGCUACGCUGCCCUAUGCCCACAGACACCAGACAUUUGAAUGCAUAUCUGGUCUUGCUUGUGUGUGUUCUCAUUGCUCUGACAACCCCCACAAAGGUUGAUGCUUUAGUGUUUCAACGACUGAUGUUUUUCUUUUGAGACAUUAAAUCAUCUUUUUUUGGAGCAA